CCACGCCCAGACCCGGAAGCGGAGCCGUCACGUGGGGCGGCGUGGGCCGCUGCCUUGGAAACGCGGAGCCCGCGCUCCGGGCUAAAGCACCAGGGCAGGGGUCUCGCGUUGGAGGAAGGGACUGAUCCGGGGAUAGAAUGCUGUGCGUCGGAAGGCUGGGCGGCUUCGGAGCCAGAGCAGCAGCUCUGCCGCCCCGGUGGGCGGGCCAGGGACGCCUCCAAGCCGGGAUCCGGGCCCGAAGGGUCAGCACCAGCUGGUCUCCCGUGGGCGCCGCCUUCAAUGUCAAGCCCCAGGGCAGCCGCUUGGACCUGUUCGGCGAGCGCCGGGGUCUUUUUGGAGUUCCUGAGCUCAGUGCCCCAGAAGGAUUUCAUAUUGCACAAGAAAAAGCCUUGAGAAAGACAGAAUGGCUUGUGGACCGUGCGUGUUCCACCCCACCUGGGCCCCAGACCGUGCUGAUCUUCGAUGAGCUCUCGGAUUCCUUGUGCAGAGUGGCCGACUUGGCUGAUUUUGUGAAAAUCGCUCACCCUGAGCCAGCAUUCAGAGAAGCCGCGGAAGAAGCUUGUAGAAGUAUUGGCACCAUGGUAGAGAAGUUGAACACAAAUGUGGAUUUAUAUCAAAGUUUGCAAAAAUUACUAGCUGAUAAAAAACUUGUGGAUUCCCUUGAUCCAGAAACAAGGCGAGUGGCUGAACUGUUUAUGUUUGAUUUUGAAAUUAGUGGAAUCCAUCUAGACAAAGAAAAGCGUAAAAGAGCAGUGGACCUCAAUGUUAAAAUCUUGGAUUUGAGUAGUACAUUUCUUAUGGGAACCAAUUUUCCCAACAAGAUUGAGAAGCAUCUCUUACCAGAACACAUUCGUCAUAACUUUACGUCUGCUGGGGAUCAUAUCAUCAUUGAUGGUCUCCAUGCAGAGGCACCAGAUGACUUGGUGCGAGAAGCUGCUUAUAAAAUUUUUCUCUAUCCCAACGCUGGUCAGUUGAAAUGUUUAGAAGAAUUGCUCAGCAGUAGAGAUCUUCUGGCAAAGCUGGUGGGGUAUUCCACGUUUUCCCACAGGGCUCUCCAAGGAACAAUAGCUAAAAAUCCAGAGACUGUCAUGCAGUUCCUUGAGAAACUAUCUGACAAACUUUCUGAAAGAACUCUAAAAGAUUUUGAGAUGAUACGAGAGAUGAAAAUGAAACUGAAUCCUCAAAAUUCUGAAGUAAUGCCUUGGGACCCCCCCUACUACAGUGGUGUGAUUCGUGCAGAAAGGUAUAAUAUUGAGCCCAGCCUAUAUUGCCCGUUUUUCUCUCUUGGAGCAUGCAUGGAGGGCCUGAAUAUUUUGCUAAACAGACUAUUGGGGAUUUCAUUAUAUGCAGAGCAGCCUGCAAAAGGAGAGGUGUGGAGUGAAGAUGUCCGAAAACUGGCUGUCGUUCAUGAAUCUGAGGGAUUGUUGGGGUACAUUUACUGUGAUUUUUUUCAGCGAGCAGACAAGCCACAUCAGGAUUGCCAUUUCACUAUCCGUGGAGGCAGACUAAAGGAAGACGGAGACUAUCAACUCCCAGUUGUAGUUCUUAUGCUGAAUCUUCCCCGUUCCUCAAGGAGUUCUCCAACUUUGCUAACUCCUGGCAUGAUGGAAAAUCUUUUCCAUGAAAUGGGACAUGCCAUGCAUUCAAUGCUAGGACGUACUCGUUACCAACACGUCACUGGGACCAGGUGCCCUACUGAUUUUGCUGAGGUUCCUUCUAUUCUGAUGGAGUACUUUGCAAAUGAUUAUCGAGUAGUUAACCAAUUUGCCAGACAUUAUCAGACUGGACAGCCACUGCCAAAAAAUAUGGUAUCUCGUCUUUGUGAAUCUAAAAAGGUUUGUGCUGCAGCUGAUAUGCAACUUCAGGUCUUUUAUGCCGCUCUGGAUCAAAUCUACCAUGGGAAGCAUCCCUUGAGGAAUUCAACCACAGACAUUCUCAAGGAAACACAAGAGAAAUUCUAUGGCCUACCAUACGUUCCAAAUACUGCCUGGCAGCUGCGAUUCAGCCACCUCGUGGGGUAUGGCGCUAAAUACUACUCUUACCUCAUGUCCAGAGCGGUCGCCUCCAUGGUGUGGAAGGAGUGCUUUCUACAGGAUCCUUUCAACAGGGCCGCUGGGGAGCGCUAUCGCAGGGAGAUGCUGGCCCACGGUGGAGGCAGGGAGCCCAUGCUCAUGGUUGAAGCUGUGAUGACAGUGCUUACACGAUCCUGUCCCCACCGCACCAACAUGCACAGACAUAAGCAGGCAAUGAGGUGGCUCCGGGAUGACCUUGUAUGAAGAUGUUCCCUGCCUUAGUCUCGGCAAUGGACAUCACAAACUUGGGAACAAGCUACAAAAUUAAGAUGACGCAGAGGAUGAGCAGGGCCAGCAGGACGGUGGCCAGAGCGCUGCAGAUGAUGGCGGCCAGCGCCGUGUCCCGUGGGCUGGAGGCUGUGGACGCGAUCUUCACGAGGUUGACCUUGCUGGCACCUGAAACCACAGGAAUGGGGUCAGCACGCUCUGAACAACCGCAGAUGCAGUGCUUACGGCGAAGCUGGCGGGCACCCUUACCAGUGGCCUUCCCAUGCUGUGAGAAAACCAGCAUGAGAUAUUUGAAGAUGGCUCAAGCACCCCUCCACCCAGAAGAUGUCUUUAAUGGGACACCUUUACCUGCACCCCACAAUGUGCUGGGUGUCCCUCUCCUCUGUUCCCACGGCACUGCGGACACACAGCCCUCGACACAUCGCGUUACUAGAAUCUGCCUUCAGCCCCACCAGGGCAGAAUUCUUUGUGAGCGGGGGUCUGUCGUCUUUAUCUCUGGCUGCCCAGUACUCGGCAUGUGGCAGGGAACUACUGUUUUUUAUUGAAUUGGAAUUGCACCACAUUUUUAAGCGGACUGAAUGCAUGCAUCCUUUUCGGGGCAACUUUAGGGGAAACAAGGAGUUGGAUCAUCCAGAACCUUACAGUAGACCCCAGUUUUUGAGACAGUAAACAUCUCUGAAUGCCUUAGCUGUUAAACUGCUGGAAAACAUCGAAGUUUUGGAGAAAAGAGUUAUACUGUUAUUACACCAUGGAAAGGCUGGCAUCGUCAUGUGCUAAGAAAGUGGAGAAAUACAUGUUACUUUAGAGGGUGGUACUGCUUUGUGGUUCAGGGCAGAUUCUGAACCCCAUGGCCUGGGUCAACCUCUACCUGUAUGACCUUGAGACACUGACUCGAGUCUCAAUUGCCAUCUGUUCAAAUGGAGGUAAUAACAGUGACUGACUCAGGCGUUAUAUAAAGUGUGUAGGACUGGCUGUGCUGUAGAAUCAUUAGCCACUGUAAUGAUGAUGAUAAUAAUUAGCAUUUUAAAACUAUCCUGAGGGUACCAGGAUAAACAAACUCAUUUAAAUUAGAGAUCUAUAUCCAGUACAGUUAAACAGCAUAUCCUACUCAACUAACCCCAAAAUAAUCUGAGAGAAAUGGAUUUAAGAGGGGCAUGAAAUCUACAUAGAGGGGCCGUUAACAUUUUCUCUUUCCCAAGCAGAUGCCCUGAGUGAGCUGAGGCGCCCUCACUCUGCUUCCCCGGCAGGUGCCGCUCACCAUGGGAGCCUCCCCUCAACUGAGGAUCACUCCAGGUAGAGGUAUAAUGUGUGCUUCACACGUCAUUUCAGGUUGUCUAGAAACCAAAUUUAAAAUGUAAAAGGGAGGCCAGGUGCGCUGGCUCAUGCCUGUAAUCCCAGCACUUUGGGAGGCUGAGUUGUGAGGAUCUCUUGAGCCUAUGAAGCUGUAGUGAGCUGUGAUUGUACCACUGCGCACCAGCCUGGAUGACAGAGUGAGACUGUCUCAAUAAUAAACAAAAAAAGAAGAAGAAACAGGUAAAAUUAACUGUAGCCUAUUUUACUUAGCCAAUGUAUCUUAAAUAUUGCAUUUCAAUAUGUAUUCAAUAUAAAAAUUAUUGACAUUUUA